rnacentral:lncRNA from 1 species
AGGAAUGACUUCUAAUGUCAUGUUUUUAUAGGUUGGAAGAACAGAUGUUAGGGCUCAGAUGAGCAUUUAGAAGAUCCCUUCAACUACUGCCAAGGAUGUUCCUGCCUCUGUUCGCUUAAGCAAUAUGACUUAUUCUUGCAGCACACACUUUAUAAUCCUUAAAGUGUCAAGUUCCUAAUCCAGCCCAAGAUAAAUGCCACCUUUAUAUUAACACUCUCAAACAUAAAUAUUAAGACAUGAUCAUUUAAUUUGUCUAUACAAAUAAUCAAAUAGAAACUCAGCUUAAUUGGGUUUGAAAUUUGAUCAUGGUGAGUUGAAAACAAAUGGCAGUUGAAGAAGUGGAGAUGACAAUUCUUUCGAGAAGAAACCAAUGAUGACUUUCAGAGGAAGGGAAACUCUUGGCUGAUCCUUUAAGGAAGAUGUCUCUGGUAACUGCAUCAUACCUGCUGAAGCUUACCUCUGAUUUCAACUGCAGCUGAGAUGGACAGUUACUUGCAAAUUUAGGCUCAAUUUGAAUUUACAAGGCCCCACCUCAAGCACAACUUUCUCCAUUUUGUUUCAAGAUGUCUUCUGCUACCUUGGAAGCAUGAACUAGAACUUGUAUGAACCCAGAACAGAAAUAUGAGGGAAGUAACUCCAAGAACUACCCUCAUAAUAUGGGGGGAGCUAAUAAUAUAUCUAUGUCUAUAUAUUUCAAUAUCUCAUCUUUACAGUGGCCAUUUUUCUGCCUCUCUGGUGGAAUGGAGCCCCCAUUUAUUACAUCAGCUACUUUGGGAAUGCACCCUGAGAUUGGCUUUUCCUUCUUUCCUGUCCCUCUCUUUCUGUUCACUCAAUGCUACUGCCAAAUGCUUUUGCUUGGAAUUUGUCAUUACCAGCACUGAGUGAACCCUUGAUUUUGCAAUCUUGGCAUGUUAGAGUUUUACUGAGCACGUUCACAUAUUGUACCAAAUAUCUUUUGUGGAUUCUGGGUACCAUUCCAGCCUUUUUACAGAGGCUGAAAGAGUGGACAUUACAUCUCCCAGAUCCCUUGUCGUCAGGGUUCUAGUUUCAUUCUGUUAAUGAGGGCAAAAUUUGGAAUGUUAAUAUCUUUUAGUGGUAGUUGAAGAUAGAUGACAGAGGCUAUAGAUGUACCCCCAAUUGUUCAGUUUAACACUGCAGGCAUCUGAGUCCAUUGGUGGCAAUUCAUGUGACUCCUGUAGUUUUUUGAAUCAAUUUCCCUGACUUUCUUUUGUACAACACUUCCAGGGGUUGUGUAAACCUCCAAUUUCCCUAUGGAAAAAUCCCUUCCUGUUCAACACAUCUAGAAUGGUUUCUGUUUUUUUUUUGUUGUUUGUGUGUGUGGCUAAGCCCUGAUUGAUACACAUAUAUUAUCUAAAUUUAUUGAGAUAAAAUGUUUUAAACUUGAAUUUGACUUACAGAUAGUAAUGGUUAAUAGGUGAGGGGAAGAUAACAUGAUCCAGCUUAGGUAACAAAGCAAAAGUAUUUUGAGAGAUGAAGCCAAUACAUUAUACAGGAUGUCAAGGUGAAAAUUAUUUCAAGAGGAGGGAAUCUUUGAUGAUGAAUAUUCUCUUCUCAUCCAAGAGAUGUCAGCCCGAAUGAAUCUGAUGGAUAUUAAACAGCACAGUUUUAAAAGUAGAUGUAUUAGAGCCCUCGGUAUGUCCUUGAAGGUGAAUAAAGGAGGAAAGAUGAGCAAACCAUGGAAACAUCAUUAAUAUGCAUAGAGUGACUGUGUUAUCUGACUUCUCGUGGGUGUUGAUACUCGAAAUUGUGUACUGUGUGGUACUGUGAAAUAAAAUGUAAAAUUUACUGCAAAAUUAUUAAAAAUUCUGGGUUCCACAGGAGUUCCUAAAUCUAUUAUAUCAUGUUUCUUUGACAGACUAGAAAGAUAGCAACAUAAAACAUAGUAUUUGUUAAGCUCUUUGUAUCUGCAGGA